AGAGAAUAGAUACCCCGGUAGUCCCAGCCGUAAACGAUGCUCGCUAGGUGUCAGGCAUGGCGCGACCGUGUCUGGUGCCGCAGGGGAAGCCGUGAAGCGAGCCACCUGGGAAGUACGGCCGCAAGGCUGAAACUUAAAGGAAUUGGCGGGGAGCACAACAACGGGUGGAGCCUGCGGUUUAAUUGGACUCAACGCCGGACAACUCACCGGGGGCGGACAGCAAUAUGUAGGCCAAGCUGAAGAACUUUGUCCUGAAUCGCUGAGAGGAGGUGCAUGGCCGUCGCCAGUUCGUACUGUGAAGCAUCCUGUUAAGUCAGGCAACGAGCGAGACCCGUG
rnacentral:rRNA from 1 species